GGCACCACGAGUAGCCUUCGCUGUAGUCCUGGUGCAGGCUCUUGGGGCCGGCGGCGGCGACGAAGGCUGCGGGGAGACGCGGCGGCGGUGUGAACAGAUGCAGCCGGCCAGGUGUGACCCCGAGUCUGACCCGCAGCCAGGGAGGACACCUGUCCAUGGGAGG